UGCUUUUGUGUUUUUUAAUAAAAAAUAUUUCAACUUUUCAUUUAGAAACAGUGGGUAAAUGUGCAAGUUUGUUACAAGGGUAUAUUGUGUGAUGCUGAGGUUUGAGGUACAGAUCCCAUCACCCAGGUAGUGAGCAUAGUACCCAAUAGGUAGUUUUUCAACCUAUCCUUCUGCCCUCCUCACCCACAGUGUUCCAGUCUGCAGUGUCUGUUGUUCCCACCUUUGCAUCCUGAGGUACUCAAUAUUUAGCUCCCAUUUGUUAGAACAUGCAGUACUUGGUUUUCUGUUCUUAAUUUGCUUAGAUUAUGGCUUCCAGCUGCAUCCAACUGGGAAAAGAAAUCAAACUAGCUCUCUUCGCUGAUAUGAUUUUAUACCUAGAAAACCCCGAAGACUCUGCCAAAAGCUCCUAGACUGAUAAACAACUUUAGUCAAGUUUCAGGAUACAAAAUCAAUGCACAAAAAUUAGGAGCAUUUCUAUACACCAAUAACGUUCAAGCUGAGAGCAAAUCAAGAACCCAAUACCAUUUACAAUAGCCAUAAAAAAACUGAAAUACUUAAAAAUACACCUAACCAAGGAGGUGAAAGAUCUCUACAAGGAGAACUACAAAACAUGGCAGAAAGAAAUCAGGGAUGAAACCAAAAAAUGGAAAAACAUUCCAUGUUCAUGGAUUGGAAGAAUCAAUAUAGUUUAAAAAUGGCCAUACUGCCCAAAGCAAUUUACAGAAUCAAUGCUGUCCUAUCAAACUACCAACCUCAUUUUUCACAGAGGUUGGAACAUUUUCACAGAAUUAGAAAACAACUAUUCUAAAAUUCAGAUGGAACCAAAGAAAGAGCCUGAAUAGCCAAAGCAACCCAAAGCAGAAAGAACAAAGCCAGCAGCAUCACACAGAUGUGGCUUCAAACUAUAAGACCACAGUAACCAAAACAGCACGGCACUGGUACAAUAACAGACACGUAGACCAAUGGAACACAAUAGAGAACACAGAAAUAAAGCUGCACACCUACAGCCAAUAGAUCUUCAGCAAAGCUGAUACAAGCAAGCAAUGGGGAAAGGAACACGUUGUUAAUGGGGGCUCACAAGCAGUAAUUAACUUCAACCAGGGGAUCACAAGACAUUAUCUUCAAAGACAACUUCAUUAGGAAUGUGGAGGUAAUUUUUUGUCAAAUGAUUAUUAAUUUGAACUCUUUUGGAUCCAAGAGACAGAGACCCACCUCAGAAUAGUGUAAGCAAAUAAAAGUACAACUGAUCUGGAGGUGAUACUUGCUUCAGUUCUCCAGGAACUCUUGGCUCAUUUCUUGUGUAUGCUUCCUUUUCAUGGCAGAUGCACAUAAUCCAUGUCACAGGAAAGGGUGGAGUUUUGCCAUGGAUGGCUCCAUCCUCAUAUCACCCCAUGUGCCACUGGAUUGUGUUUAACAGCCAUAGAAGGCUACCUGCAUUUCAGGGCCAGCAAAUAAAAUCCUAUGGAAGGCUUCUGCCCUAUCUAGUUAGGGUUC
rnacentral:lncRNA from 10 species